GCAUGGUACAGCAAUUAAAGGAGUAAUCCGCUAUGAGAUGGACCCGCGUCGCAUCUAGCUAGUCUGGUGAGGUAACGGCUCACCAAGGCGACGAUGCGUAGCCGACCUGAGAGGGUGAUCGGCCACAUCUGGGACUGAGACACGGCCCAGACUCCUACGGGAGGCAGCAGUGGGGAAUAUUGCACAAUGGGGGAAACCCUGAUGCAGCAACGCCGCGUGAGUGAUGACGGCCUUCGGAUUGUAAAGCUCUGUCUUUGGGGACGAUAAUGACGGUACGCUAAGGAGGAAGCCACGGCUAACUACGUGCCAGCAGCCGCGGUAAUACGUAGGUGGCAAGCGUUGUCCGGAUUUACUGGGCGUAAAGGGAGCGUAGGUGGAUAUUUAAGUGGGAUGUGAAAUACUCGGGCUUAACCUGGGUGCUGCAUUCCAAACUGGAUAUCUAGAGUGCAGGAGAGGAAAGGAGAA
rnacentral:rRNA from 1 species